CCAGAGGAGAAGACUCCCCAACCGUAGAAUCCAUCCCAGCUGCGGAAGCAUUUCUUUGAUCUUGCACUGCAGCUGUGUCAGUAAUGAAGACAAAUAGAUAGCGUCAAUGCCGCAGUUCAAGACCAGAUGCAAAAAAUAUUAACCAUAAAGGAACUAUAGUUUGCAGCACGAUUGUUUUGAGAAUACAUACCUUGAAGCCCCUCAUUGGUUGUGAUGAGAUCAAGUUCAAGGAGGUCUAGAAGACGUCCAAGAUCAACUCCGCUAGUCCAAUUUUCUGGGGGUUGGCCAACUUUGAGUUUCAACCGACCCCUGUUAGCAGUCCCACCCCAAAUGAUCCCAACAGGCUGUGGCUUCUCCCCAUUCUGACCCUUUAAUAGUAUGAGGCUUCCACUGUCUCCUUCAA